AUUGAACGCUGGCGGCAGGCCUAACACAUGCAAGUCGAACGGUAACAGGAAGAAGCUUGCUUCUUUGCUGACGAGUGGCGGACGGGUGAGUAAUGUCUGGGAAACUGCCUGAUGGAGGGGGAUAACUACUGGAAACGGUAGCUAAUACCGCAUAAUGUCGCAAGACCAAAGAGGGGGACCUUCGGGCCUCUUGCCAUCGGAUGUGCCCAGAUGGGAUUAGCUAGUAGGUGGGUUAACGGCUCACCUAGGCGACGAUCCCUAGCUGGUCUGAGAGGAUGACCAGCCACACUGGAACUGAGACACGGUCCAGACUCCUACGGGAGGCAGCAGUGGGGAAUAUUGCACAAUGGGCGCAAGCCUGAUGCAGCUAUGCCGCGUGUAUGAAGAAGGCCUUCGGGUUGUAAAGUACUUUCAGCGGGGAGGAAGGGAGUAAAGUUAAUACCUUUGCUCAUUGACGUUACCCGCAGAAGAAGCACCGGCUAACUCCGUG
rnacentral:rRNA from 1 species